ACGCCAUCUAUCGCCGAAUAGCUGAACGA
rnacentral:sRNA from 1 species